UACGUAGGCGGCGAGCGUUAUCCGGAAUUAUUGGGCGUAAAGAGCGCGCAGGUGGUUGAUUAAGUCUGAUGUGAAAGCCCACGGCUUACCCGUGGAGGGUCAUUGGAAACUGGUCAACUUGAGUGCAGAAGAGGGAAGUGGAAUUCCAUGUGUAGCGGUGAAAUGCGUAGAGAUAUGGAGGAACACCAGUGGCGAAGGCGGCUUCCUGGUCUGUAACUGACACUGAGGCGCGAAAGCGUGGGGAGCAAACAGG
rnacentral:rRNA from 1 species